CGUGCAAUUCGUAAGAAUUCUAGUGGAACCACUGAGUUUGCAGGGCCUAGGGCCGGGUGGGGGCCAACCACGAGCGAAGUGGAAGGACAGUCGCAUGAGGGCGCUAUAAUCUUAGAAAUUUUCCUCUUGCUCGCAGCCAUUUUUAAUAUUAAUAAUAGAUCCAAUUCCAAUUAAACGCUGGUGAACUUUUCGUCGCCACCAAAUCGCGAACCCACUUCAAGAAAGAUGCCAACUGUGUGGCCCAAGAACCCGAUGGCUCUCGUGAGACCUUACGCCCGAGAGAUUGGGCCAUUCCUCUUCCCCUGUAUACUGUUGACAGGUUAUCUCAUGACCAAAGCUACUAUGAUUGGAUUGAGAGAAAACAAGAAGCAGAAAGCUCUACAAUCAUCAGGCCACCAUUAACCUCUUGGAGUCUUCAGUUGUAACUUAGUAGGAUCCCGAUGUAGCACCUGUGGUCUCCUUUCUCUUCUGUCUCAACCCAACUCCAGCCAGCUUCACUGCAACUUUCACCCACAUCGAGUGAGAUCUUCAAACUACAACACAUUCAAAGUCAACACAGAUAUGCAAUGCACCACUUUAAACUCUUCAUUCACCUGUUAAAUGCAGGAUGUCAUCUUCUUGUCUGAAAAGUUGGCCAUACUGGACACAAAUGCACAUGUGGAUUUGUGACAUCAUGGAAUGUAUUUGCAAAUUCCCUCCAGUGCAGAAAUAUUGUGCUGUCAUAUUCCUUUGGCAUUCACAUUCACGUCAACUACAAACUGGGCUUGAUACCCAUGUUUUUAAACAAAUAUAUUAUAUUACCCAGUCUGCAUUGUAAGCAUUUUGUUUAACCAGUUUGCGCCGGAUGACGUGUAUACCUGCAAAGGUUUUGCGGUAUUCGGAAUGGAUGGCGGAUAAACACGCAGGGAGAGAGGCUGGACAUAUCUGUCAGCGACCUGAUCGCAGUGAGCGAGGCCAGAAAUAUGAACGUGUUGCCCGAGGGUGAUGGCUUCAACCUGCUGGGCAUAAGGUCGAGUGAAAAGGUAUCCCGCGCCUUGUUCCGUUCUAGUCAAAAUAAUCCCGGCGCGAACUGGUUAAAGAGCAAGAAUUGGGCAAAUUGCUUAGAUUUUCACUUAGUAACCCUGGAAAUAGUUUGAGAACACAACUUUUCAUAACACUUGUGUUGUCUUUCUUGAUUUGUUAGUUAAGCUUGAACAACAAGUUAGUGAUUGUCCCACACAUAGUCUCACUUUGCAUGCAGUGUUGACAAAGCUAAGGAAAACCAAAUAUGUUGGAAAAGGAGGCCACAGUCUAUUCAGGUUUAUUUCAGUUUUUCAAAUGUAUUGAGUGGAGAUGUUUGUUUAAACAUUGCAGUUGCAUGGUUUUCUUAAUUCACUUGGUAUGCUAAAAAAUAUUCCAAUCAAAGGAAGCAUGUAGUUUAUAAAAACAAAGGUUAGCAUAUACAAUCCAUUCAAUUGGAGCGAAAUUCAAAUGUCCCCUGCGUGUGAUAUAUUUUACAAAUGUUUCAAAUCAUAUCGACACUUUGUGCCAUGUGAAAGACUGUUUAUCUUUAAGUGGUCAUAUGUAUUGCAAUACAGCACAACAUGACUGGCACAUUGUGGGAACUGCUAAUUUUUGUAACGAUUUGCUGUGUAAAUUUAACCAAUAAUACAUGCAAGACAAUAAAUAGAAAGUUUCUAAAGUUGAAUUAA